GCUGGGCCCUGCUGGGGGGUGGAAGAGGAGAACCACCGACGGGGGGACCGCCGCUGCCACUGCCACCAUGAGUAAUCAGCAGCUGGACUGUGCCUUGGACCUAAUGAGGCGCCUGCCUCCACAGCCAAUCAAGAAAAACCUCAUUGACCUGAUUGACCUAGUCCCCAGUCUAUGUGAAGAUCUCCUGUCUUCUGUUGACCAGCCACUGAAAUUGCCAGAGACAAGGUGGUGGGAAAGGAUUACCUGUUGUUUGACUACAACAGAGAUGGGGACUCGCUAUAGGUCACCGUGGAGUAACAAGUAUGACCCCGCUCUGGAAGAUGGAGCAAUGCAGUCUGCUAGGCUGAGAAAACUGGAGGUGGAAGCCAACAAUGCCUUUGACCAGCACCGAGACCUGUAUUUUGAAGAUGGCGUCUCAUCUGUUUUCCCCUGGGAUCUGGAUCAUGGCUUUGCUGGAGUAAUUCUCAUAAAGAAGGCUGGAGACGGAUCAAAGAAGAUCAAAGGCUGCUGGGAUUCCAUCCAUGUGGUGGAGGUACAGGAGAAGUCCAGUGGCCGCACUGCCCAUUACAAGUUGACCUCCACGGUGAUGCUGUGGCUGCAAACCAACAAAUCCGGCUUGGGCACGAUGAACCUCGGAGGCAGCCUCACCAGACAAAUGGAGAAAGAUGAAACUGUGAGUGACUGCUCCCCACACGUAACCAAUAUCGGGCACCUGGUAGAGGACAUGGAAAAUAAAAUCAGAAGUACACUGAAUGAGAUCUACUUUGGGAAAACAAAGGAUAUUGUCAACGGGCUGAGGUCUGUGCAGACAUUUGCAGACAAAUCAAAACAAGAAACGUUGAAGAAUGACCUGGUGGAGGCUUUAAAGAGAAAGAAGCCAUGUUAA